rnacentral:rRNA from 1 species
UACAGGGGGUGCAAACGUUAUUCGGAAUCACUGGGCUUAAAGGGCGCGUAGGCGGCCUUCUAAGUCAGACGUGAAAUCCCCCGGCUUAACCUGGGAACUGCGUCUGAUACUGGGAGGCUUGAGUAUGGGAGAGGGAUGUAGAAUUCCAGGUGUAGCGGUGAAAUGCGUAGAUAUCUGGAGGAAUACCGGUGGCGAAGGCGGCAUCCUGGACCAUAACUGACGCUGAGGCGCGAAAGCUAGGGGAGCAAACGGG